CGUAGGGGGCUAGCGUUGUCCGGAAUCAUUGGGCGUAAAGCGCGCGUAGGCGGCCCGGUAAGUCCGCUGUAAAAGUCAAAGGCUCAACCUUUGAAUGUCAGUGGAUACUGCCGGGCUAGAGUCCGGAGGAGGCGAGUGGAAUUCCUGGUGUAGCGGUGGAAUGCGCAGAUAUCAGGAGGAACACCAACGGCGAAGGCAGCUCGCUGGGACGGUACUGACGCUGAGGCGCGAAAGCGUGGGGAGCGAACAGGAUUAGAUACCCUGGUAGUCCACGCCGUAAACGAUGGGCACUAGGUGUGGGAGGUGUCAACUCCUCCCGUGCCGGCGCUAACGCAUUAAGUGCCCCCGCCUGGGGAGUACGGCCGCAAGGCUAA
rnacentral:rRNA from 1 species